rnacentral:rRNA from 1 species
CAGCAGCCACGGUAAUACGUAGGGUGCGAGCGUUAAUCGGAAUUACUGGGCGUAAAGCGUGCGCAGGCGGUUCGUUAAGACAGAUGUGAAAUCCCCGGGCUUAACCUGGGAACUGCAUUUGUGACUGGCGAGCUAGAGUAUGGCAGAGGGGGGUAGAAUUCCACGUGUAGCAGUGAAAUGCGUAGAGAUGUGGAGGAAUACCGAUGGCGAAGGCAGCCCCCUGAGCCAAUACUGACGCUCAUGCACGAAAGCGUGGGGAGCAAACAGGAUUAGAUACCCCUGUAGUCCCUGUCUCUUAUAA